rnacentral:tRNA from 1 species
CGCUCGGGGCGAGGCGGUUCGUCUGCGCCUCCUCGUACGUGACGCCGAGGAAGUCGCACAUCGCGUGGUGGGCGUGCGACUCGUCGUCGAGCAG